rnacentral:rRNA from 1 species
GAGCACGGCCACACCGCCUGGUUCACGCCCGAUCUCGUUUGAUCUCGGAAGCUAAGAUAGGGUGGGCCUGGUUAGUACUUGGAUGGGAGACCGCCUGGGAAUACCAGGUGUUUUGUAAG